UUUAAUCGUCUGUUAGGAAUCCCGACUUCUUAACGUUAACUGAAACUGUAUGGAAGGUCAUGAAGCCGAAUUCAGGUGGCAGCAUUUAAAUAGAUGUGAGCCGCAGUCAUUCUGUGUAUUAGCAUUAGCCUGGAUAGCCUGUUCUUCCGGGGUUAGUCACGUGGUACUGAGCCAGUUGCAUUUAAUAGUUCUGUGCGGGAGAAUGUCGGAAAAACCCAGUGUUAGUGUUUUUAUGCUUUGGGAGUGUCAUGCAGUGUACGCGUGUGUAAACAGCAGGCAAAUCCCUGGGCUCGGCGUUCCCGUGCGAGCAGCCAUGCGAGGACCACGAUAAGACCGAGACCGACGGCUGUGCCUCCCAGGAUGAUGGGCACUAUCCUUUUGAUAAAAUCUGGCCAACAUUCGUUCUCUGAAACGAGUAUGAGAUGACAGCAGAUGAAAAGAACGUCAGUCCUUGUAUUUGAUAACGAUGCGUGUCUCAUAAUUUUAGAAAUAAUAUUUAUAAUAAUUAAAAAAAACUGACAGACGAUAUAUAUAAGAACCUGCAAAUUAAUCAAAAGCAAUACAUACCUUUUCCGAAUUUUCCACUGCUUAUUUGAAAUCCCUGAAUUUUCAUAUUCAUUAUUUUUAUAUUUAGGUUGUUAGCCAUCGUAAGAGUGUCUUCGCUGUAACACUUAUGGCUGCGUCCGUUUUCGCUUAGGAACAGUUUCAUAUUGAUGAGAGCGCCUGCAAAUGUUUCACCUAAGAGCAGUAAUGACUUGAUUUACAAAGAAAAUCAUAUCAUGAACCAGAUCACGAAUGAAUGAAUUAAUGAAUAGCUUGAAUGAUAAGAAAUGAAUACUCACUCCUACAAUUUAUGCAGUUACGAGAUGCUGUCAAAUUGGCUCUUAAUAUAGACACGUAUGACAUUUUCCCUUUCUGAAGAUGAAAACAGUGAUAUUCUGUUAUCAGCGCAUCAUUCAUUGUUUAUUCCAUUGUCGAUAUGAUCUGCAAGUACUAUACAGAAUGAGACAGCUUUAUACCGAAAGCAAGCUUUGCCUCCGUGGGGGGUCCUUUGCUUUCGUGUUUUACCACCUUAGCUCAGCUUUCAGAGAAUCUACAUACGGAGACGAUUAAUAGUGAAAGUAAAACCUGAAGUAGCUGCUCAAUAUCACAUACCUUAACAAAGGUAAACUCAAUACUCCCACCAUCAAAAUUCAGAGACAAAAGAGCAGUAUUGUCUCCACAGAAUCCUGUGGCCAUCGUGGACUUUGGGUCAAGGUUGAAAUAUAAAUUUGUCUGCAAAAAAAAAAAAAAACUUAAAAAAAA